rnacentral:rRNA from 1 species
UGCCAGCAGCCGCGGUAAUACGUAAGGGGCAAGCGUUAUCCGGAAUUAUUGGGCGUAAAGCGUCUGCAGGUGGAGAUAUAAGUAGGUUAUUAAAUACCGGAGCUCAACUUCGGUGCUGUAAUCUAAACUGUAUUUCUAGAGGAUGGGAGAGGUAUGCGGAAUUGUGCAAGUAGGGGUAAGAUCCGUAGAUAUGCACAGGAACACCAAAAGCGAAGGCAGCAUACUGGACCAUUCCUGACACUCAGAGACGAAAGCGUAGGUAGCAAAGCGGAUUAGAUA